GAUACACACCUGUGCUUAUGACAUCACAGAUCAUCACCACGGAAACAUCUGUGCUAUAGCAAAUGCUGGGUGGAAGCAUCACCGCCUGUGUCAGAGAGGAGAGGAAACUGGUGCAAAGCGAUAAGGCUCUCAGUAAUGAAAGUUUGCUCAAACACACCCGCAAUAGCAUCCUUGGUUGUGGGAUAAUGGGAGGACAAGACAAAGAUCACCUUGCUUCAUUCAAGAUGAAGCUUUGAAUCACAGCCCGUCAGAGCCCCUCUCUGCACCAAAAAAGCUACCUUAAAAAUAUAGAAAACCUGAUAAAAAUGACAGAGACAGUUAUUGUGGCUAGUUUGUCAAAUGGUAACCAAUGCCUAUCCUCUUGUGAUGAAAGAAAGGACAAAACGGGCAUGAAUGUCUUCUUCUUCGGUCCAUCAUCCAAUCAGAGUUAUAUACCAUCUAUUGUCAGGAUUAAAUUCUGCUGAGGGCAUGCCAUACCUUCCUUUUUUAUCUGGUAGUAAAUGUUGCUGUACAUCCCUGUAAUGACAGGGAGUAGAAUUAGACCUCGAGGUUAGCAGUAGGAAGAGAAAGACAAACUCUGAGGGGGAAAAAAAAGAAGAUUCUGCAUGCUUUAAAAAUUUAUUCUUAGCAAAAUUCUUAACAAAAAUGUUCUCUAGUGAAAGACCAUGAUAAUAUCAACAGGGACCAACUAAUCAGAUGUUUAAUUAUCUGCAUGCAUCUAUAUUUUUUGCGGCUCUAUCUUAGUCCUGCUCUCAGACAUGAGGAGACUAAAAAUUCAUAUUCAGAUAAGCAAAGCUGAACAGAUGGAGCAGAGUUCAGCAUAAAGGUUUAAUCCUAUCAGGCCGAUUCCUGUAUGGCCAUCUGGAUAAAUCCGGCACACAUAUUCGAGGCCUGUUGAAAAUAUGGCUCCGGCCAAGAUUAACAUCACAAAUUUUCCAUUAGACUUGCUCAUAUUUGACUUUAUGAUUUCUUAGGCCCAGGA
rnacentral:lncRNA from 1 species